rnacentral:rRNA from 1 species
GAUGAACGCUGGCGGCGUGCCUAAUACAUGCAAGUCGAGCGAACGGACGAGAAGCUUGCUUCUCUGAUGUUAGCGGCGGACGGGUGAGUAACACGUGGAUAACCUACCUAUAAGACUGGGAUAACUUCGGGAAACCGGAGCUAAUACCGGAUAAUAUUUUGAACCGCAUGGUUCAAAAGUGAAAGACGGUCUUGCUGUCACUUAUAGAUGGAUCCGCGCUGCAUUAGCUAGUUGGUAAGGUAACGGCUUACCAAGGCAACGAUGCAUAGCCGACCUGAGAGGGUGAUCGGCCACACUGGAACUGAGACACGGUCCAGACUCCUACGGGAGGCAGCAGUAGGGAAUCUUCCGCAAUGGGCGAAAGCCUGACGGAGCAACGCCGCGUGAGUGAUGAAGGUCUUCGGAUCGUAAAACUCUGUUAUUAGGGAAGAACAUAUGUGUAAGUAACUGUGCACAUCUUGACGGUACCUAAUCAGAAAGCCACGGCUAACUACGUGCCAGCAGCCGCGGUAAUACGUAGGUGGCAAGCGUUAUCCGGAAUUAUUGGGCGUAAAGCGCGCGUAGGCGGUUUUUUAAGUCUGAUGUGAAAGCCCACGGCUCAACCGUGGAGGGUCAUUGGAAACUGGAAAACUUGAGUGCAGAAGAGGAAAGUGGAAUUCCAUGUGUAGCGGUGAAAUGCGCAGAGAUAUGGAGGAACACCAGUGGCGAAGGCGACUUUCUGGUCUGUAACUGACGCUGAUGUGCGAAUGCGUGGGGAUCAAACAGGAUUAGAUACCCUGGUAGUCCACGCCGUAAACGAUGAGUGCUAAGUGUUAGGGGGUUUCCGCCCCUUAGUGCUGCAGCUAACGCAUUAAGCACUCCGCCUGGGGAGUACGACCGCAAGGUUGAAACUCAAAGGAAUUGACGGGGACCCGCACAAGCGGUGGAGCAUGUGGUUUAAUUCGAAGCAACGCGAAGAACCUUACCAAAUCUUGACAUCCUUUGACAACUCUAGAGAUAGAGCCUUCCCCUUCGGGGGACAAAGUGACAGGUGGUGCAUGGUUGUCGUCAGCUCGUGUCGUGAGAUGUUGGGUUAAGUCCCGCAACGAGCGCAACCCUUAAGCUUAGUUGCCAUCAUUAAGUUGGGCACUCUAAGUUGACUGCCGGUGACAAACCGGGGGAAGGUGGGGAUGACGUCAAAUCAUCAUGCCCCUUAUGAUUUGGGCUACACACGUGCUACAAUGGACAAUACAAAGGGCAGCGAAACCGCGAGGUCAAGCAAAUCCCAUAAAGUUGUUCUCAGUUCGGAUUGUAGUCUGCAACUCGACUACAUGAAGCUGGAAUCGCUAGUAAUCGUAGAUCAGCAUGCUACGGUGAAUACGUUCCCGGGUCU